UACAGAGGUCUCAAGCGUUGUUCGGAUUCAUUGGGCGUAAAGGGUGCGUAGGUGGCGCUGUCAGUCGGGUGUGAAAUUUCGGAGCUUAACUCCGAAACUGCAUUCGAUACUGCGGUGCUUGAGGACUGGAGAGGAGACUGGAAUUCAUGGUGUAGCAGUGAAAUGCGUAGAGAUCAUGAGGAAGACCAGUGGCGAAGGCGGGUCUCUGGACAGUUCCUGACACUGAGGCACGAAGGCCAGGGGAGCAAACGGG
rnacentral:rRNA from 1 species